CGAGCCUGGUAUUUUCCGGCCAAUCGUCUUGAUGAAAAGGUAGAUAAAAUACCAUGCAAACUUUUACGAUUGAUUUAAUACUUUUUUAUUAAAAAAACUCAAUAUAUUUCCUGAAAAUCUUGCUGAGACUUUUAGAAUAACCGGUUGCAUCCUAAGAAUCGAUUUUAAUCGAAAACGUAACUAGGUACCAUGGUUUUCAGAGUCGCUGAUUUUAUUUAGGCCCUAAAUUUGACGCUGCGGCGGCAGAAGCAAUUUGGGUCAGCGUGCUUUUUUGGGGGGACUGCAUUGAGUGAGUGCAACACCACUACCCUACUAAGCAACCCCUCACCAGCCGCCGACCUACUGUAAAAGAGCCGCACUCCUCUCCACUGCGGAGGACAGCGCAAGCUGCGUGAUAUGUACUCACACGCAUGUAACACAGUAUUUGUUAAACAAAAUACAAGUAGAACGAGAAAAGUUGUGGCAA